rnacentral:rRNA from 1 species
GUGUGCCUACGGGGGGCAGCAGUGGGGAAUAUUGGGCAAUGGGGGAAACCCUGACCCAGCGACGCCGCGUGAGGGAAGAAGGUUUUCGGAUUGUAAACCUCUGUCCUUGGUGACGAUAAUGACGGUAGCCAAGGAGGAAGCCACGGCUAACUACGUGCCAGCAGCCGCGGUAAUACGUAGGUGGCGAGCGUUGUCCGGAAUUACUGGGUGUAAAGGGAGCGUAGACGGCAGCGCAAGUCUGGAGUGAAAUGCCGGGGCCCAACCCCGGAACUGCUUUGGAAACUGUGCAGCUCGAGUGCAGGAGG